AUUGAACGCUGGCGGAAUGCUUUACACAUGCAAGUCGAACGGUAGAGGGGGCAACCCCCUUGAGAGUGGCGAACGGGUGAGUAAUAUAUCGGAACGUGCCCAGUCGUGGGGAUAACGUAGCGAAAGUUACGCUAAUACCGCAUACGAUCUAAGGAUGAAAGCGGGGGAUCGCAAGACCUCGCGCGAUUGGAGCGGCCGAUAUCAGAUUAGGUAGUUGGUGAGGUAAAGGCUCACCAAGCCAACGAUCUGUAGCUGGUCUGAGAGGACGACCAGCCACACUGGAACUGAGACACGGUCCAGACUCCUACGGGAGGCAGCAGUGGGGAAUUUUGGACAAUGGACGCAAGUCUGAUCCAGCCAUUCCGCGUGCAGGAUGAAGGCCCUCGGGUUGUAAACUGCUUUUGUACGGAACGAAAAGGUUUCUAUUAAUACUAGGAGCUCAUGACGGUACCGUAAGAAUAAGCACCGGCUAACUACGUGCCAGCAGCCGCGGUAAAGUGACUAC
rnacentral:rRNA from 1 species